AUUGAACGCUGGCGGCAUGCUUUACACAUGCAAGUCGAACGGUAACAGGCCGCAAGGUGCUGACGAGUGGCGAACGGGUGAGUAAUGCAUCGGAACGUGCCCAGUCGUGGGGGAUAACGCAGCGAAAGCUGCGCUAAUACCGCAUACGAUCUAUGGAUGAAAGCGGGGGACCGUAAGGCCUCGCGCGAUUGGAGCGGCCGAUGUCAGAUUAGGUAGGUGGUGGGGUAAAGGCUCACCAAGCCAACGAUCUGUAGCUGGUCUGAGAGGACGACCAGCCACCCUGGGACUGAGACACGGCCCAGGCGCCUACGGGGGGCAGCAGUGGGGAACUUUGGACAAGGCGCGCAAGCCUGAUCCAGCAAUGCCGCGUGCAGGAAGAAGGCCUUCGGGUUGUAAACUGCUUUUGUACGGAACGAAACGGUCCUGGUUAAUACCUGGGGCUAAUGACGGUACCGUAAGAAUAAGCACCGGCUAACUACGUGCCAGCCGCCGCAGUAAGAC
rnacentral:rRNA from 1 species